ACACCAGACUCCUACGGGAGGCAGCAGUGGGGGAUAUUGCACAAUGGGGGAAACCCUGAUGCAGCGACGCCGCGUGGGUGAAGAAGCGCCUCGGCGCGUAAAGCCCUGUCAGCAGGGAAGAAGAAAUGACGGUACCUGAGUAAGAAGCACCGGCUAAAUACGUGCCAGCAGCCGCGGUAAUACGUAGGGGGCAAGCGUUAUCCGGAUUUACUGGGUGUAAAGGGAGCGUAGACGGAUAAGCAAGUCUGAUGUGAAAAUCCGGGGCCCAACCCCGGAAUUGCAUUGGAAACUGCAUAUCUAGAGUGUCGGAGAGGCAAGUGGAAUUCCUGGUGUAGCGGUGAAAUGCGUAGAUAUCAGGAGGAACACCAGUGGCGAAGGCGGCUUGCUGGACGAUGACUGACGUUGAGGCUCGAAAGCGUGGGGAGCAAACAGGAUUAGAUACCCGCGUAC
rnacentral:rRNA from 1 species